UACGGCCACAUCACGUUGAAACACCGGUUUCCGUACGAUCACCAAAGUUAAGCAACAUCGACCCUGGCCAGUACCUAGAUGGGUGACUACUUGUUAAUACCAGCUGCU